rnacentral:rRNA from 1 species
UCAUGCCUACGGGACGCAGCAGUGGGGAAUAUUGCACAAUGGGGGGAACCCUGAUGCAGCGACGCCGCGUGGGCGAGGAAGUAUUUCGGUAUGUAAAGCCCUAUCGGCAGGGAAGAAGAAAUGACGGUACCUGAAUAAGAAGCACCGGCUAAAUACGUACCAGCAGCCGCGGUAAUACGUAUGGUGCAAGCGUUAUCCGGAUUUACUGGGCGUAAAGGGAGCGCAGGCGGCGCGCCAAGUCUGAUGUGAAACCCCGGGGCUCAACCCCGGGCAUGGAUUGGAAACUGGCGGGCUGGAGGGCCGGG